AGAGUUUGAUCCUGGCUCAGGAUGAACGCUGGCGGUAUGCGUAACACAUGCAAGUCGAACGAAGUUUUUCGGAACUUAGUGGCGGACGGGUGAGUAACGCGUGAGAAUCUGCCUUAAGGAUUGGGACAACAGUGGGAAACCGCUGCUAAUACCAAAUAUGCCUUUUAGUGAAACGGGUAAAACCGCCUUAAGAUGAGCUCGCGUCUGAUUAGCUAGUUGGUGUGGUAAGAGCGCACCAAGGCAACGAUCAGUAGCUGGUCUGAGAGGACGACCAGCCACACUGGGACUGAGACACGGCCCAGACUCCUACGGGAGGCAGCAGUGAGGAAUUUUCCGCAAUGGGCGAAAGCCUGACGGAGCAAUACCGCGUGAGGGAGGAAGGUUCUUGGAUUGUAAACCUCUUUUCUCAGAGAAGAAUAAUGACGGUAUCUGAGGAAUAAGCAUCGGCUAACUCCGUGCCAGCAGCCGCGGUAAUACGGAGGAUGCAAGCGUUAUCCGGAAUGAUUGGGCGUAAAGGGUCUGUAGGUGGUUGUUCAAGUCUGCUGUUAAAGCGUCUGGCUUAACCAGAUAAAGGCGGUGGAAACUGAACGACUAGAGUGCGGUAGGGGUAGAGGGAAUUCCCAGUGUAGCGGUGAAAUGCGUAGAUCUUGGGAAGAACACCUGUGGCGAAAGCGCUCUACUGGACCGCGACUGACACUGAUGGACGAAAGCUAGGGGAGCGAAUGGGAUUAGAUACCCCCGUAGUCC
rnacentral:rRNA from 2 species